AUGUCCUCCCUUCCAGCUGCACAGGGAAGCGUACUUGACCCAGUCAUCGCCAAAUGACAAGAGGCAGAGAACCUCUGGCCAGCGCGUGGUGGGACUUGCUCGCCUUGCUCGGUUUAUAUAUGUGUAUUUUCAGCUGCAUUUGAAGCACAUGUAGACCUGGGAAAGCAAACGCCCAGUCUAGAGGUCUCCAUGUUCUGUGUGGAGCCCAUCCUUGAAAACUGGAGUGAAAUACGUGGCCCAUACUUCACCAAUGCCGCGAUGGGUAGCUUAGAGUCUUCAGUCUAUUUUGG
rnacentral:lncRNA from 1 species